rnacentral:lncRNA from 1 species
CAGAGAUCUAGGGGAAAGUUCAUAAGGGAGGCAGAGGGUGAGUUAUCGCUUCCUCUUCAGUCUGGACUGUUACAGCCAUCUUGAGCUAUCGUGGAAGGGUAGUUCAUAAUCAGGGAACACAAAAGAUGUUAUGGGUCUCAUGGGGCCAAGCUGGAUCCGCAGAAGUAUAACAGAUAUGAGAGAAUUCCUUCUUCAUCACUGCAUUCCCCAAGAAGAUAAGAGAGUGCUCCUUGUGACCUACUUCCUCAAGCAUGGUUGCAGUGCUUGGGACCAGCUGUUAGCACAAGACUGACUCUUGUCCAUCAGCACUGAAACUGAGACCAUUAGUGCCUGACACAUAGCAGGUAAUGCAUAUAUAUGUGAUAAAUAAAUGUCUUGGUUGUUCUUGCA